rnacentral:rRNA from 1 species
UAGAGAUUAACAGGAUUAGAUACCCUGGUAGUCCACGCCGUAAACGAUGUCGACUUGGAGGUUGUGCCCUUGAGGCGUGGCUUCCGGAGCUAACGCGUUAAGUCGACCGCCUGGGGAGUACGGCCGCAAGGUUAAAACUCAAAUGGAUUGACGGGGGCCCGCACAAGCGGUGGAGCAUGUGGUUUAAUUCGAUGCAACGCGAAGAACCUUACCUACUCUUGACAUCCAGAGAACUUUCCAGAGAUGGAUUGGUGCCUCCGGGAACUCUGAGACAGGUGCUGCAUGGCUGUCGUCAGCUCGUGUUGUGAAAUGUUGGGUUAAGUCCCGCAACGAGCGCAACCCUUAUCCUUUGUUGCCAGCGGUUAGGCCGGGAACUCAAAGGAGACUGCCAGUGAUAAACUGGAGGAAGGUGGGGAUGACGUCAAGUCAUCAUGGCCCUUACGAGUAGGGCUACACACGUGCUACAAUGGCGCAUACAAAGAGAAGCGACCUCGCGAGAGCAAGCGGACCUCAUAAAGUGCGUCGUAGUCCGGAUUGGAGUCUGCAACUCGACUCCAUGAAGUCGGAAUCGCUAGUAAUCGUAGAUCAGAAUGCUACGGUGAAUACGUUCCCGGGCCUUGUACACACCGCCCGUCACACCAUGGGAGUGGGUUGCAAAAGAAGUAGGUAGCUUAACCUUCGGGAGGGCGCUUACCACUUUGUGAUUCAUGACUGGGGUGAAGUCGUAACAAGGUA